AGAGUUUGAUCAUGGCUCAGGAUGAACGCUGGCGGCGUGCCUAAUACAUGCAAGUCGAACGCACAGCGAAAGGUGCUUGCACCUUUCAAGUGAGUGGCGAACGGGUGAGUAACACGUGGACAACCUGCCUCAAGGCUGGGGAUAACAUUUGGAAACAGAUGCUAAUACCGAAUAAAACUUAGUGUCGCAUGACACAAAGUUAAAAGGCGCUUCGGCGUCACCUAGAGAUGGAUCCGCGGUGCAUUAGUUAGUUGGUGGGGUAAAGGCCUACCAAGACAAUGAUGCAUAGCCGAGUUGAGAGACUGAUCGGCCACAUUGGGACUGAGACACGGCCCAAACUCCUACGGGAGGCUGCAGUAGGGAAUCUUCCACAAUGGGCGAAAGCCUGAUGGAGCAACGCCGCGUGUGUGAUGAAGGCUUUCGGGUCGUAAAGCACUGUUGUAUGGGAAGAACAGCUAGAAUAGGAAAUGAUUUUAGUUUGACGGUACCAUACCAGAAAGGGACGGCUAAAUACGUGCCAGCAGCCGCGGUAAUACGUAUGUCCCGAGCGUUAUCCGGAUUUAUUGGGCGUAAAGCGAGCGCAGACGGUUUAUUAAGUCUGAUGUGAAAGCCCGGAGCUCAACUCCGGAAUGGCAUUGGAAACUGGUUAACUUGAGUGCAGUAGAGGUAAGUGGAACUCCAUGUGUAGCGGUGGAAUGCGUAGAUAUAUGGAAGAACACCAGUGGCGAAGGCGGCUUACUGGACUGCAACUGACGUUGAGGCUCGAAAGUGUGGGUAGCAAACAGGAUUAGAUACCCUGGUAGUCCACACCGUAAACGAUGAACACUAGGUGUUAGGAGGUUUCCGCCUCUUAGUGCCGAAGCUAACGCAUUAAGUGUUCCGCCUGGGGAGUACGACCGCAAGGUUGAAACUCAAAGGAAUUGACGG
rnacentral:rRNA from 1 species